rnacentral:rRNA from 1 species
GGAGGUAGUGACAAUAAAUCACAAUGCGGGACUAUUCGUCUUGCAAUUGGAUUGAGAACAAUGUACAACUCUUAUCGAUAAGCCAUUGGAGGGCAAGUCUGGUGCCAGCAGCCGCGGUAAUUCCAGCUCCAAUAGCGUAUAUUAACGUUGUUGCAGUUAAAAAGCUCGUAGUUGAAGUGUGGGUGGUGCCAUCUGUGAAGCUUCGGCUUCUAAGAUGAUCACUACCCCCUUCCAGUAUCCAGUAGUGGGUAUUCAGUUACUUACUAUUGUGUGUUGGUCGUUUACUGUGAGAAAAUUAGAGUGUUCAAAGCAGGCGUUUGCUUGAAUAGAUUAGCAUGGAAUAAUAAUUGAAGGCAUUCGUGUUCGAUUUGAUUGGUUUGUUCAUGGAAGCAAGGUUAAAAGGAACAGUUGGGGGUAUUCAUAUUCACUAGUUAGAGGUGAAAUUCUCGGAUUUAUGGAAGAUGAACAAGUGCGAAAGCA